rnacentral:rRNA from 1 species
AGACAAUAGAUACCCGGGUAGUCCUAGCUGUAAACGGUGCACGUUUGGUGUGGGAGGCAACCCCUUCCGUGCCGAAAGCUAAACGCGAUAAAAACGUGCCGCCUGGGUAGUACGGUCGCAAGACUAAAACUCAAAGAAAUUGACGGGGACCCGCACAAGCGGUGGAGUAUGUGGCUUAAUUCGAUGCAACGCGAAGAACCUUACCAGGGCUUGACAUGUAUUGUAACCCCGGUGAAAGCCGGGCAGCAUGGAAACAUGCGCUUUACACAGGUGCUGCAUGGCUGUCGUCAGCUCGUGUCGUGAGAUGUUGGGUUAAGUCCCGCAACGAGCGCAACCCUUAUGAUUUGUUGCCACCGGUUCAUUCCGAGCACUCAAAUCAGACUGCCCAGAUUAACUGGGAGGAAGGUGGGGAUGACGUCAAGUCCGUAUGGCCCUUACGUCCUGGGCUGCACACGUACUACAAUGUCCAGUACAAAUUGAACCGAUACCGCAAGGUGGAGGAAAUCAACAAAACUGGGCUCAGUUCAGAUUGCAGGCUGC